AACCCAUGUUGAGGACAUUUUCGCAGGAGCUCUUUCAACCUAUCCCAUGUCUCAAAAUGAAACUCCGAUUUCAUUUGAACAAAAGAAGAUAUCUCAUUCCUAGGAG